CAGGUGCACGCCACCACACCCAGCUAAUUUUUUUUUUAUUUUUAGUAGAGACAGAGUUUCGCCAUGUUGACCAGGCUGGUCUUGAAUUUUUGUAUUUUUAGUAGAGACGGAAUUUCGCCAUCUUGGCCAGGGUGGUCUCCAACUCCUGACCUCAAGUGAUCCACCCACCUCGGCCUCCCAAAGUGUUGGGAUUACAGGCUUGAGCCACUGCACCCAGUGUAGUCUCUGCAUUUUCAUAUCCUCACCCUCUGCCGUAACAAUGCCUGUUUUCUUCCAAUAUAAAUGUAAUGCGUGCUCAUCGCUGAAAAGUCUGAGAAUAGAAAGGUUGGGGCCAGGCGCGGUGGCUCACACCUGUAAUCCCAGCACUUUGGGAGGCCGAGGCAGGCGGAUCCCUGAGGUCAGGAGUUCAACACCAGCCUGGCCAAAAGGGCGAAACCCCGUCUCUACUGAAAAUACAAAAACAUUAGUUGGGUGUGGUGGUGCAUGCCUGUAAUCCCAGCUACUCAGGAGGCUGAGGCAGGAGAAUCGCUUGAACCCAGGAGGCAGAGGUUGCAGUGAGCCAAAAUCGCGCCACUGCAUUCCAGCCUGGGCGACAGAGCAAGACUCCCUCCCCAAAAAAAAAAAAAAAGGUUAAAAGCCAUCAUGAUGUGCACAUAGGGGUAGAUAGAGAGAGAUGGGGGUUGUAUUAUUCAUAUUUUCCUAGCAUUGCCCUAAAAAAUUACCACAAACCAGGUGGCUUAAAGCAAAAGAAAUUAUUCUCUCACAGUUCUGGAAACCAGAAGCCUGAAGCCAAGGUUUUGGAAGGGCUGGCUCCCCCUGGAGAUGGAGCGAGAAUGUGUUCCAUGCUUCUCUUGCAGCUCCUGAUGACUCCCAGCAGCCCUUGGCAUUCCCUGCCUUGGGGCUGCCUCACUCCAGUCCCUGCCUCCAUCCUUCUCUCUGCAUCUCUGUGUGUCCUCUCCUCUAUUCACAAGGACACCAGUCAAAACGAGUCCCACUGUAAAUCCAGGCACCACCGUAAAUCCAAAAUAAUCUCAAGGUCCUUAACUUCAUUACAUUUGCAAAGACCCUAUUUCCAAAUAAGUUCACAUUCUGAGGCUCCAGGUGGACAUAAAUUUGGGGAGGGCCAUUAUUCAACCCACUGCAGGGGUAUAAGAGACCUAACUCUUCAUCUGGUUUACAAAGAAGGAGAUAAUGUCUAAAAUCAUCAUUCAAGAAAUGGCAACAUAAGCACAUUAUUUUGACCGGGGGAAAUAUAUUACAGGCUUGAACAGGGUUCCCCAGGAGAGCAGGAAGAAGCAGGGCAGUGGACAGCUUUUUUUCACACUUAAAACUUGUAAUACCUCUUGGCUCUGAAUUAUUUUUGUUUCUUUGAAAACACAAAACUAAAAAGAAAAUCACUCAUGUGUUUUUUCUUGCUUAUUCUUUUCUGCACUUACAUAGAAAAAAAUUUUUUAUUUCAAAUAAAUGAAAAUUCCUGUUACCAAAUGAUAGAGUUAACACAUUGGUACAUUCUUUGCUCACAUUUUUUUAAGUUGAUCCUAUUGUACAUCCAACAGGAAAAUCAGUUUCAGUCCACCUAACUUCAUAAUACAAACAUAUCUCUGUUUUAUCUUUGAAUUGUAAUAGACAUUUUUAUUGGCUACAUAAAAUUUUAUCAAGAAAAAUAUCUGGCAGGUCAUAGUGGCUCACACCUGUAAUCCCAGAAUUCUGGGAGGUCGAGGCAGGUGGAUCACUUGAGGUCAGGAGUUUGAGACCAGCCUAGCCAACAUGGUGAAACCCCAACUCUACCAAAAAUACAAAAAUUAGCCAGGUGUGGUGGUGUGUACCUGUAGUCCCAGCUACUCAGGAGGCUGAGACAGGAGAAUUGCUUGAACCAGGGAGGUGGAGGUUGCAGUAGGCCGAGAUUGUGGCCACUGCACUCCAGCCUGGACAACAGAGCGAGACUCCGUCUGAAAAAUAAAUAAAUAAAUAAUCCAUCAUUUACUUAAACUGGUUCCCCCCGGGCACUGUGACUCACACCUAUAAUCCCAACACUUUGGGAGGCCAAGGCAGGAGGAUUACUUGAGUCCAGGAGUUCGAGACCAACCUGAACAACAUAGCCAGAUCUAAUCUCUAAAAAAAAAAAAAAAGAAGUUGAAAUCGUUCCUAUUUUUUCACAUUACAGAUAAUGCUGAAAUAAAUGUCUUUAGGAAGAGGUUUUCUUCAUUUGUUGUGUGUGUACUAUUACUUCCUUGAAAUGAAUACCAAUUUCUAGGAGGUUAUAUUACAGGAGUAUGAAAGUUUGGAAGACUUUGGGUACAUUCACCAAAUUUUAUUCUGGGGAUGGGGAAGGUGCCCUAACACCAAAUCAUAUAAAAUGCACACCCUGUUGGUGUUUCUUCUGAACCUUCCUGUCUUAAUGAAAGCCGGUGUAAUAGGAUAUUGAAUAGGCUUUUCCUGCUGCCCCCAGAAUGUCACCUAUACUCCUAAAGCAGAGGACUUUCAGAUUACUCACAGGGCUUAUUAAAAAGUACACAAACAAAAAAAAAAAAAAAAAAAAAAGUACACAAACUAGGCUGGGCACAGUGGUUUACACCUGUAAUCCCAGCACUUUGGGAGGCUGAGGCGGGCAGAUCACCUGAGGUCAGGAGUUGGAGACCACCCUGGCCAACACGGUGAAACCCCGUCUCUACUAAUAAUACAAAAAUCAGCCAGGCGUGGUGGUGGGCGCCUGUAAUCCCAACUAUUCAGGAGGCUGAGGCAGGAGAAUCGCUUGAAGCUGGGAGGCAGAGCUUGCAGUGAGCUGAGAUCACGCCACUGCACUCCAGCCUGGGCAACAAAGUAAGACUCUGUCUCAAAAAAAAAUAAAAACUCCACCUAAUUUAGUGCAGAGACAAACUGAAAACCCAACCUUGGAGGUGCUUCUGGAACAAUAGCUCAGUCCCAGUGAAGCACAGCAGCUAUGCUUCAACCAAUCACAGACGGUCAGCUGUCCAAACUGUUCAAGAAAGUCAGACACCACGCUGUAAUCAAUCCAGUGGGUCCCGUGCUCACUUCCAUUUUCUGUACGUCACUUUCCUUUUUUUUGUCCAUAAAUCUUAUCCAAUCAUGCAGCUGCCCUGGAGUCCUCUAAAUCUGUCUGGUUCUGGGGCUGCCAAAAUCAUUUUUUUUCUUUCUGGCUCAAUUAAACUUUGUUAAUUUAAUUUGUCUCAAGUUUUUCUUCUAAUAUUCAGUGUCAGAAGUGAAGAUGUAAACUAAAACUCCAGUGCACCAGGUGACCAGUUCAGGUAUCCACGAAUCCAACUGCAUUCAGUGCCCUCUUGUUGGUAACUGG
rnacentral:lncRNA from 1 species